CGCGAAGUCAAACCUCUUGCACGUUGCACCACUAGUUACGGAUUACGAGAGAUAAUCCACGUGCUUUUGCGCCCACGAUUGCUGCUGCACGUCAGCACAUGCAUGCAGAGCACCAUUUUAGUAUACUCCCUUGUCAACUCUAGAAGUUCAGUGUCACGUGAAGGAGGAAGGUUCCUUCGUUUGAAGAUAAUGAUAGAUGCAAAUAUGGGAUUUGCAUUUCUUAAACGUGGAGCCAUCGGAUCUGCACGGAGAUUUGCGUGGAUAUUUUAUUUCCGUUUCUUAUUUUUCUUGUCACGCGCCCCGCGCCCGGAGGCAUCAGGUGCGGCAGACCCGGCUAGCUGCACAAAGAACGAAAAAUGCGUGCAUCGGGGCUGAAAUUUGAUUAUUUGAACCCAGAGUUAUCCCUACACAUGUGCGUCUUCCCCAGCCCCCAGAUCACAGGAAGCAGCUUUCUUUUCUCAUCAUUAUCAUUGUUAGAGACGUGAGUGGCUUUUUACCGAGUGUAAAAACAAGAUAAUUUUUUAUCCUCAUCAUUUGUACUGUGGUAAGUACUCUGUAUACAUGAUCGAAUGGAUCUCCUGCGUGCACUGCAGAGUCUUUGGAUCCUCGUAGCCUUGCCGUUUGUGCCAUCGCUCUCACUACCUAAUCAAUAAUCAAAUCCAGAGUAUUUUCAAGUAAUACGAUAUAUAAAGCUGGUUAACUUAAUUACCAUCGGGCGGAGGGGUGGAAUCUUGGAAACGUAGCUUUCUGACAGAGGCAUCAUCCAGAUCCGGUCAUCGUGUAGAUCAGUUCUAUUCGAUCGUUGGCCUCCAUGCACAUACUCGAUCAUGGGUAUGCAUAUUUAAGAGUGGGUAUGCACGUGAGUUCACCGUCAAGUGGAAACCUCGUAUUAUGAAAACUAGCGUAGUGAUCCGCGGCUAGAUUUAAUGAUUUAUUUUUUUUGUGUAUUUUCGUUUUAUUUUUCUAAUUGCUUUAUGAAUGUUACCAAUGAUUAGAUUGGUUUAAAUUGAGUAAAUUUCAUAAAACACACAUUUUGUUGCUACCGUAUCACGUAACCACACCUGACACUAAUUUUGUUGUAGAACCACAACUCUUAAGACCAUUUUUCUCAAGUAACCCAAAUUUGUUAGUUUAAUGGGUUUGACCACAUUUCUGGCAUGUGUGGCACACAUGUCAUAUGCCACAUAAAAGUCAAGAUCAUAAGAAGUUGGGGUAAGGUAGGGGAGAAAAGGAGAGGGUUAGCAGGUCAGGUCGGGUCUGACGCUGACCUUGUAUGUGACAUGUGGGUGUGGUUUUGUGAAAUUUACUUGUUUAAAUUCAUAUCAUUACAUUGUAGAUUAGGUAGUCAUUACAUGUUUUCGCAAAAGAUUUGUAUUUUAUUAACAUUGUCCACAUUACAAAAGUGUUGAGUUGUACAUGUAACAUAAGUAUUUUUGCGUGGAGAUAAUUUGAAAGGUUUGUAUAGUUUUGUUAAUCCUUUACUGUUAUUUGGUAUAGAUGAUAUGCAAUAACCAUUCCAUUUUAUCCAGGCCGAUUUGUAUUUGUUAGUCCCUUCCCAUCGCAUGUACAACUUUUCUAAAUCUCUUUUAGCCACAAUGCAACACAAAAUCUUCCUCAUUCUGUCGUGUUGCUUCCAACAGCCGGUCAAGAGAGUCUGUCUGGUUGCGGCCGUUUUCGUAGAAUAAACUGGUGCCUAUGGUAGAUCGGCUUCCGGCUGGUGUUUCAUGCGAGUGUGUUGCUACCGUUCAACCACUAUUUGCGUAGUCAUGGAUUUGGCGAGGUCCAUCGCGGAUGUAUGAAAGCAGGAACGGAGCCCCCUCAGGAAUAGAGAAAACCCUUAAAAAUAUGUAAUGACACCGGUAAAUUUUGAAGAACGAACCCAACCCUAUAUUUUUCUGACUUCGCCAAUAAAAGCCGAAGGUGCUUGGUAGUCAUGUCUUUUCAUCCUAUAUACAGAGCAUCUAUCAUGUGAUCCAUGUUGUUUCUUUCUUUUUGAAAAUCGAUCCUCUUUCGCUUAUUGAUUUCCUUUUUGCCUUACCUCCUCUGUUCAAUAUCAAGUGCGAAAGUUGUUGUGGAUUAAAUUCCCGCAACGUGUCAAGAAGCUAAUUUGGAUUAAAUUCCGGCGUGUUCUCGUAUGUAUUUAAGUUUUGGGUCAUGGUGUGUCUUGGAACAACUCUACCGGGUUUUGAUGGCAAUGACUUGGCAAGAUUACCUCGUUGGUUGUUGUGGCCUACGCGUGAUGCUGGGCUGCCUAUUCCAUACCGAUGAUCAGGACCUUCGACGGCUAUGACCGAGGUGCUCGAUCGCUCGGGGGCCUCAAAUCAAUGAAGGAUUAGUUAUGGUAUUAACCGACGGAAAAGAAAAAAAAUCAAUAAUCACGGCUCGCAUGGAGGAAAAUAGAAAAAAGACAAACCGCCCUGCCGUCGGUUCCACUCUGUCGCUUGAUUGGUGUGUCUGUUUGUUCGACUUCGAUCGCUGCGC
rnacentral:lncRNA from 1 species